rnacentral:rRNA from 1 species
AAGCGCUUGUGACCAGACUUGGGCGCGGCGGAUCAUCCGGGGUUCUCUCCGGUGCACUUCGCCGCGUCUAGGCCAGCAUCAGUUCGUCGCGGGGGAAAAAGGCUUCGGGAACGUGGCUCCUCCGGGAGUGUUAUAGCCCACCGUGUAAUACCCUGGGGGGGACUGAGGUUCGCGCAUCUGCAAGGAUGCUGGCGUAAUGGUCAUCAACGA